rnacentral:rRNA from 1 species
GAUGAACGUUGGCGGUGUGCCUAACACAUGCAAGUCGAACGCUGGUAGCAAUAUCAGAGUGGCGCACGGGUGAGUAACACGUAGCUUACCUACCUCAAAGCGCGGGAUAACGUUCCGAAAGGAAUGCUAAUACCGCAUAAGCUCGCGGUCUGUAGAGGGCUGAGAGAAAAGGGGCAACUCACUUUGUAGAUGGGCGUGCGGCCCGACUCAGCUGGUUGGUGAGGUAACGGCUUACCAAGGCAACGACGGUA